GUCAAUGUACAUGGCUCUGGAGUCGGAGUAUUGUCUACUUUUGAGGAACAUCAGCUGGCCUGUGCCUGAAACUCUUUCUGUAUACAUUUUCUAAGAAAUGCUAAGGUGUGGUAAUUGCUAAGGUGGACAAUUGCUCAGGUGUGGCAUUAGCUCAGUCCAUGCACUGAUAUGUAAACCUAUUGGCAAAUUCUCUUUUCAAAUGACUUAGUCAUAUAAUCAUAUUGAUUUAGCUGAUAUGGUUAUUCUUCUUUCACACUACUGCUAACCAAGAAUCAAAUUUCCUGCUAUAGCUUCCUAGGCCCUGGUCUGGACUGCUUUGACCUCCUUUUGCACCCUUCUCUGUCUCACUGUUCUCCAGCCACACUAACCUACCUUCUGCUUCUCAAAGGAAAGCAGCAAGCAUGCUGCCACCUGCUUUUUCCCAGGCCUCAGCACCGGUGGGCCUCAGAGAUGUUUUUCCUGUCCACCUAUUUGAAGACACUGCAUGUCUACUCCCUUGAAAAUUCUCCUUCCAUACUUAAUUUCCUACAUUGAAUAUGUCACUAUUUGGAUCAUUUUAAUGCAUUUAUUUUUUUCCUACCAGCUUCCCUUCAUUAGAAAAUAAGAUUUAGGGGAGCUUAUUGUCUUGAUCAAUGAUGUGAGAAGGAGGUUGGCACAUAGUAGGUUCUAAAUCAACAUUGUAUAAUGAAGAAAUAAUGAACAAACCAAUGUUACUUUCAUAUAACCCUUGCAGAAGACUGUAUAUAUUUCUUUAGAGAGAUGGGUUGCUGUAAAAAAAUGGAAAGAAUGACUCAAAUAAAGAACUUUAAUGCUGGGGCUUCUGCUGGAGAUUAGGACCCUUAAGUGUGCUCCAUGUUUUCCUCUGGUCCAGAGAAUUUCACCUCUGGUUGAAGAAAGAACCUUAUCCCCACCAAAGAAUAGUGCC
rnacentral:lncRNA from 1 species